UGUGGUGUUUAUAGCGGCGGGGAUACACGCGAUUCCAUCCCGAACUCGACCGUUAAGUCCGCCAGCGGUGAUGGUACUGCACAGGUAACUGUGUGGGAGAGUAGCACGAUGCCACAU
rnacentral:rRNA from 1 species